UGAGUAACCUGCCCUUCACUCUGGGAUAACUCCGGGAAACCGGGGCUAAUACUGGAUAUGACUCGAACAGGCAUCUGUUUCGGGUGGAAAGAUUUAUUGGUGGAGGAUGGACUCGCAGCCUAUCAGCUUGUUGGUGAGGUAAUGGCUCACCAAGGCGACGACGGGUAGCCGGCCUGAGAGGGCGAUCGGCCACACUGGGACUGAGACACGGCCCAGACUCCUACGGGAGGNA
rnacentral:rRNA from 1 species